CCUGCCAGGCCACGAGGGCCACAGCAGAGUGGGGCCUGGAGGGGCCCACGCCCUCUGACCUGUUCCCAGGCUGGAAGGAAUUGAGCUUUUCCUGGGCUUGUCCAUCUUUAAAAUGUGAAUCUCACAGAGGCACAUCUAUCUUUCUUAAUGGUUUAAUCAUUUGUCAAUUCUCAGAGCUAGCCAGCUAUUGGUUUUACUAGGCACAGAGGAUGUUCUAAACGGUUUCUCUCAGAAAAAAAAAUCACUUCUGUGGUUCGCUGCAAUGCAAAAUCAGCACAUUUGUUUUCUCCCUGUCUUCAGCAUUAUUAUGCCUUUAAUAAAACCCUAGUGAUACAAGAGUGGUAGGAACUGGAAUAUAAUUCAAAUUUUUAUUUUGUUUUUACUAAAGUAACAUCUUCAAUGGACUGACUGUAUCAGUAGACAAGGUGUCCGUAUGUUGUGGUUUAGGAAUGUUAUUCCCCAAAUUAUUGUUGCCACUGAAACCAGGUGCUGUUCCCUUUGUCUCCCUCUCUCUUUCCUGUGGUAGGCUGAAGGGGAGAAUUGGAGACACAAAAGGUAAAAAUAACACAUUGGGAUAAGAAGCGUUUACUGGAAACAGCAAUGACAUAAGAAAAUUAACAGUAACAGCUACAAUACCAAUAACAAAGUGUACAAGAAAGGCAAGGGAUUCAAAUGUGAUUGCUCAGAACUGGUGUUACUCAAACUUUCCCUUCCCCCACCUUUACUCAACUGGAAGGAACCCCUUCUCUGCAGACAUUAUUAUUUAUUCACCUGGCUACUGCAAAAAUUAACCUUGUCCUUGCUGGAACCAGGACACCAUAAAAGUACAAAUCCUUUCCACAUGCUAUGUCAGAUUCCAAGGAAACUCUGUCACCCACACCAGAGCUCCAGCACGACAUCAUACCUCUCCUAAGGAUCACACUUCAGUUAUUGCUACCAUGUCGUGUAGAGUUCACCCUGAACUCUCAUACUGAAGAAACAAUAUGUGAGAAUUACUAUUUCUGCUAAAAUCUGUCAGUCCUCCUGGCAUCAGGCAAUCUAGGUAACAAAAGACUGGGAAUGGGGAAAGUGAAUUUUACUAGGAAAUGGCUUCGCCAGUGCUGACAGUGUUUGAUAUAACAGUGUUUGCUAUAACUGCAACAUACAAGUAUGUCAUCCAGCAGAAAAGCAGGUAUUCUCUCCUUGGCAGUGGCAUUCCUGUUUGAUUUUUAAAAAUAUUUUAAAUUUUAAUAUGGUCUCUUACAUGACAGUUCUGCGCACAAAAAUCUGUGGGAAUUACAUGGUUUGAAAAUUUGUAACAUAGCCAUCUAUAAGACUUUCUUUCUAUUAAUUUUUUUCAGCCUAGAAGAUACAGAAUUUAGUCUGCCUAAUACGACCCAAGGUUAUAACUACCACAGAGUACAUGACACAAAAAAUGGUAUGAAAGUAGCUCUGCAAUUUAGCCUGAUGCUAGCAAAAAUCUGGAAUUCUAAAUAACUUUUUCUGCUUCAUCUGAGAAAAUAAAAAACACCCCAUACAUUAAUUAAUGCCAUGUUUAGAGGCAUGACAACAGCUCUCCAAACAACUUGCUUUUCAUAAAGUAGUCCCAUGGUCUUUCAGAUAAUUAGUGGGGAGAAUUGAGGAUAAGAAGUGACUAACAGCUACACAACAAACAUACAUCUUCACCAGUUUUAUUAUUUUACCAUUUGCAUGGUGAUAAGUUGUUUUCUUUUCCUUAAGUGAAAAGAAAAAAGAAAAAAUUAAAAAAAUUAAUCCACACAAAGCCCACAUCAAACCAACAAACCAGCCAAUCAAAAAAAAAACCUCCCAAGAGAAACUGUAAGCACAAAAUUAUUUUUAUCAGAAAUGUAUGCUUCUUGUGGCACAGACAUCUUUAUUUUAGUUCAACACACGCGUUAUUUUCACUGCCUUUGAGGAGUCCAUCAUAUAGAGAGACAGAGCAGCCACAGAUAUUUACUGAUCAUUGUACAGGAUGUGAUAGGUCUGUCAGUAUAAAAACUAGAGAGAUUGAAAACUUUUUUUUUUGUAUAGCAUAUUUAUGAAAUUUGCAGUCUAGACUGAGUUCAUAAACUAAUUCACAUUCACAUACUUAAUGCAGAGCUUGCCUAUUUGAUUCUGCUUUUGUUGAAAGAAGAAAAGGCUAUUUGAUGGUUUGCCAGGGGAAACCAAACUGGUGAUAUUUACGACAGUAAUUGCUUGGUCUUGACCACAAAAUUUUGAAUUUUCCUUAUUAAUGAACUUCUCAGAUGGAGAAAAAGGUUAUUUCACUGCACCCCUACUGGGAAUGUAUGGCAUAGGACAACUGUGGAAUUGUACUGCUGACAGCUGACAGUCUUCUGUGUGUUUGUACCCUAGCAGGACAUCACCAUUUUUUCAUGGUUUAUAGAUGUCCACAGACAAGACUAACACUUUCUGUACACACUUGAAUGAGAGAUUAAUAGUUUGUCCUGAACUCUUUGGUGCCCUGUUAAGGCUAUUUUUGAAAGAUUUUUGUCAACUACUAAAUAUUCUUAUGGGAACUCUAGUCUUUAGAUAGUAGUUUUAUUUCCUCUGGAGAAAAAAAACUUUUAAAAACAGUAAAUGCAAUGAGCUAAGUAAAAGUUUACUCAACUUUAUCCUAAAGUGUUCUAGCAAGAAAAUAAUGUCUUGCCAAGAAUUACUGAAGCACAUCUCAAAAGGCAAUAAAAAGCCUUUUGAUCUUUUUAUUUCUUUUUUUUUUUACUGGAAUGUUCUUUUUCUUUAUUUUCUUGAUAUUCUUGAGGGAUAUUACAAAGGAAAAAACAUAAGAUAUUAUCAAGUCAAGCUUACUAGUGAGCAGCUGGAGGAGACAAAGAUGAGUAGCUAGUGGUAAAUUCAUUUUCUGCAUGAGCAGAAACAUCUGUUCAUUGCUGUGAUGUUCAUUUGUCCGACCUUUCCAAAACUUUGGUUAUACAUGCCCACUUCUCAGCAUGAAGCUGAAUUUCUGUUUUGGAGGGAAAGACUAAAGUGUGGCUGCUUUUAUUUAUUGAAUUUUGUUUGCAAAAAUGUGAGCUGUAUAGAAAGAACAUAACAGAUGAGAAAGUACACGUACGUCAGUCUAGUCAUAUCAUAUUUUGCACUUGUGUUGCAACCCUUGACAAGCAUUACUUUGCAUGUGGUCUACUAAGUGGUGUUAACUUCUACCUCUGGUUUGAUUUUUUCCCUUUUUUUCAUACACAGUACACUACUGUGUUGUAUAUAAGAAUGAUUAAUAAUUUUCCUUUAAAAUCAGAUUUUUCAAAGAAGAAAAAUUUUAUUACUUUUUAAACCAAGUGAUAAAAGUGAAUUUUCUUGUAUUUUUCACAUACAGAACAAAAUAUGGAUACUUGGGACUGUAUUUCUGAAGUUCAGUAGUGAGUCUGGACUGAAAGGGCCAUUUAAAUUGGCAUUAAAAUAUCAGUGAAGAAAAGAUGCCUCAGGAAUAUGUUAUGCUCAGCACUUAGUUUACAAGUGUGCCUGCUGUAAAGAUGUGUCAAAGAUUAUUUCUGAAAAUAUUCUGUAACAAUUUACAAAUAAGACUUAUUUUUAAUAAAUACUUCUGUUAGUUGCUAAUCAAAAACGUAGCACGUUUUUGAAUAGUUGAACCUCAGGCAAAUGUCUGAUUACCUUCUGUAAGAUACCUCUAGAAUUUUUUUUGCCAAAAUUUUCAAUUUUGUUUGGAAAAUAUGGUAUAAAACUUCAUGAGAAGGCAUCCUUUUAAUUUUUACUUUAAUUACACUUAAGAUUGCUUUGGUG